ACACGACUACAUUAGAUACCCGGGUAGUCCUAGCCGUAAACGAUACUCGCUAGGUGUCGGCCACGGUGCGACCGUUGUCGGUGCCGUAGGGAAGCCGUGAAGCGAGCCACCUGGGAAGUACGGCCGCAAGGCUGAAACUUAAAGGAAUUGGCGGGGGAGCACAACAACGGGUGGAGCUUGCGGUUUAAUUGGACUCAACGCCGGGAAGCUCACCGGAUAAGACAGCGGAAUGAUUGCCGGGCUGAAGACCCUGCAUGACCAGCUG
rnacentral:rRNA from 1 species